rnacentral:rRNA from 1 species
GGAUUGACACAUCGGUCGUGCCUUAAGGGGUAUGAACUGGUGUAGUCAAUUUCUCACCUUCUGGAGAACCGCGAUGCCCUUAAUUGGGUGUCACGGGGAACCAGGACCUUUACUUUGAAAAAUUAGAGUGUUUAAAGCAGGCAUUUUGCUUGAAUACAUUAGCAUGGAAUAAUAAAAUAGGACGGCAUGAUUCUAUUUUGUGGUUUCUAGGAUCACCGUAAUGAUUAAUAGGGAUAGUUGGG